AUGGAUUGCUGCUUUCACGGUCAGAUCUGUAGUGUUUGUUUUGUGUUGGGUUGUUUGGCGAUGCAGUUCAGAUGUAGUCUUGCUAACGUUAUCAACGUGGACCUCAUUAUUUGGGAGCAAACUUGUAACCUUUAUUCAACCUGUUUGAUCCGACGAUCGGUUCCGGAUUACCGGAAGGUUUCUGAUGCUUUAUGCAACACGAUUUGGCAUGUACGUGUCCCAAAAGUUAGUGUACCAGCAGAAGCUUCAAAAGAUCGUCAUUUUUACAGACGUGCUGUCUGUGCUAUUCUUGAACUCACAGGAGGAGCUUUUGGGAUCGAUAUGUGCUUGGUGCAUAAUAUCUUAUAA
rnacentral:rRNA from 1 species